rnacentral:rRNA from 1 species
GACGAACGCUGGCGGCGUGCUUAACACAUGCAAGUCGAGCGGUAAGGCCCUUUCGGGGGUACACGAGCGGCGAACGGGUGAGUAACACGUGGGUGACCUGCCCUCAGCUCUGGGAUAAGCCUGGGAAACCGGGUCUAAUACCGGAUAUGACUCCAUGACGCAUGUUGUGGGGUGGAAAGCCUUGUGCGGCUGAGGAUGGGCCCGCGGCCUAUCAGCUUGUUGGUGGGGUGAUGGCCUACCAAGGCGACGACGGGUAGCCGGCCUGAGAGGGCGACCGGCCACACUGGGACUGAGACACGGCCCAGACUCCUACGGGAGGCAGCAGUGGGGAAUCUUGCGCAAUGGGCGAAAGCCUGACGCAGCGACGCCGCGUGUGGGAUGACGGCCU